rnacentral:lncRNA from 1 species
GUCAACCUGGUGUGCAGCCUGGCUGGAAGACAGUGCCAGCAAGCGUUUGCACCACCGCUGGCUCUGAGCACUGUGACCAGGAGGAUUUACUGAGGCCCAAAGCUCUGAACAAGAGUGAGAGCCACCUGGGAAGGCAGCAUCUUGAAGGCCAGGGCUACUGAGGGAAUCGGAAGCUUUCAAGAGGUUCUGUCCUCCAGGAAGUGGUGCCGCAGGAAGAGGGAAUCAGAAGGAACAUGGAACAAUCUAGAAGCCACCAGAAGGCCAAGGAGUGGGAGAAUGGGGGUAGAAGAUGGCAGUAAUGAAGGAAGCCCGGGCAUGCAUGGGGCAGAGCAGUGAUGGCAAAUUUGGAACUAUGGACGACAGAAAGAAAUAUGAAAAUAUGAAUAUAGACCUGAAAGCUGUUCUUCAAGCUGCCUCGGUACUCUUGGCUAGACAUCUCGAAGGGUCUUUUGGGAUGGCAAGGUUCAGAAAAGUCCCUGUGC